UACGUAGGGGCUAGCGUUAUCCGGAAUUACUGGGCGUAAAGGGUGCGUAGGUGGUUUCUUAAGUCAGAGGUGAAAGGCUACGGCUCAACCGUAGUAAGCCUUUGAAACUGAGAAACUUGAGUGCAGGAGAGGAGAGUGGAAUUCCUAGUGUAGCGGUGAAAUGCGUAGAUAUUAGGAGGAACACCAGUUGCGAAGGCGGAUCUCUGGACUGUAACUGACACUGAGGCACGAAAGCGUGGGGAGCAAACAGGAUUAGAUACCCUGGUGGCCUGA
rnacentral:rRNA from 1 species